UACGAAGGGGGCUAGCGUUGUUCGGAAUUACUGAGCGUAAAGCGCACGUAGGCGGAUAUUUAAGUCAGGGGUGAAAUCCCAGAGCUCAACUCUGGAACUGCCUUUGAUACUGGGUAUCUCGAGUAUGGAAGAGGUGAGUGGAAUUCCGAGUGUAGAGGUGAAAUUCGUAGAUAUUCGGAGGAACACCAGUGGCGAAGGCGGCUCACUGGUCCAUUACUGACGCUGAGGUGCGAAAGCGUGGGGAGCAAACAGG
rnacentral:rRNA from 1 species